UACGUAGGUGGCAAGCGUUGUCCGGAUUUACUGGGUGUAAAGAGCGCGCAGGCGGUCGAUUUAGUCGCGUGUGAAAGCCCCCGGCUCAACUGGGGAGGGUCACGCGAUACUGAUCGACUCGAAGGCAGGAGAGGGUAGUGGAAUUCCCGGUGUAGUGGUGAAAUGCGUAGAUAUCGGGAGGAACACCAGUGGCGAAGGCGACUACCUGGCCUGUUCUUGACGCUGAGGCGCGAAAGCGUGGGGAGCGAACCGG
rnacentral:rRNA from 1 species